GGGGGCAGGUGCUGAAGUCCCCUGUCAACAUGGCAGCCCCCAUAGGGCGGAUACACGUGUUACUCACAGUUGAUUUUCGGUGAAGAAAAACCGUUUUUUCCCGCAGAUUCAAGAUAAGAUGGUAGCGGCGAGGGUCCGGAACGUCCCAAGAAGAAUCGAGGGUGGUUUUCCAGUUGGAAAACCACAAUGCCAGUCACAGAAGGUGCUGAACGCCAUGGCGUUGGAGGAAAUGUGCUGGGGACACUCCAGGCACCAUUGUUAGAAGAAAGUGAAGGGAAGGAAAGAAACUUAAAAGCAUUGAUAUAUAACUGCCCUAACAACAGAAAAGAUCAAUAAAACUACAAAACAGAUGUGUUCACAU